GAUACUACGAUCGACAACUAACCAUGCUUGAGAAUAACCUUCGUUCUCUCAUGUAAUUUGUUCAAGCUAAUACAAAAAUCAGGGGGGUGCUUAGGUAUAUAUAAAAAGACAUAGGUCAACUUCAAGCAUAAAGAUUAAGAUUAAUCUUAAAUCUCAAACAACAAACAAUAGCCUUUGUAUCAAAUGACUACAGAGAGGGGACAACUUCCAUAAUCAUGAAUUAAACGGGGCCUUUUUAUUUCA
rnacentral:lncRNA from 1 species